GGUAACAUUCCAAUUACCAAAACCAUUUGAAUCCAGCAGCUGUCCAAAGCGCUUUCAAAAAGAUCAAGGACAUUGAAUGUUGAAAGCCUCUGCAAAAGGUGACAGAACUAUUAUCCAGACAAGGCCUGAAGAACUUCAAAAACAUUCACAUCUGAAAAUUAGGAAAAUAGCUGAGUACUGAACCUACUUGUAGAAUUAAACUCAGCAUCAAAAUCAAAAUCUACCUCAG